rnacentral:misc_RNA from 1 species
UGAUGCUAGGAAGUUGUUGAUUGACAAGGCAAGGACUGACAUUCGUAAGAAAUUAGAAGAGAUCAGGUCUGCUGCCAUUGCAUCUGCUGCAGUUAAACAGAAAGCACAAGAUCCAUCCAGAGAGGCAGGAGUUGGUCCUAAAUGUGAUCAUUCAGAUGUUUCUGGCCGUCAAAUAAAGCCAUCUAAAGCUGGGCCAAUCUCAAUAACGGUGCCUGAUCCUGAUUUCCAUGAUUUUGACAAAGAUAGA